GGGGAUUUAGCUCAGUGGCAUAAGCGCCUGCCUUGUAAGCAGGUGGUCGAGAGUUCGAUCCCCG
rnacentral:tRNA from 1 species